rnacentral:rRNA from 1 species
CCUACGGGGGGCAGCAGUGGGGAAUAUUGCACAAUGGGCGCAAGCCUGAUGCAGCCAUGCCGCGUGUGUGAAGAAGGCCUUCGGGUUGUAAAGCACUUUCAGCGGGGAGGAAGGCGGUGAGGUUAAUAACCUCAUCGAUUGACGUUACCCGCAGAAGAAGCACCGGCUAACUCCGUGCCAGCAGCCGCGGUAAUACGGAGGGUGCAAGCGUUAAUCGGAAUUACUGGGCGUAAAGCGCACGCAGGCGGUCUGUCAAGUCGGAUGUGAAAUCCCCGGGCUCAACCUGGGAACUGCGUUCGAAACUGGCAGGCUAGAGUCUUGUAGAGGGGGGUAGAAUUCCAGGUGUAGCGGUGAAAUGCGUAGAGAUCUGGAGGAAUACCGGUGGCGAAGGCGGCCCCCUGGACAAAGACUGACGCUCAGGUGCGAAAGCGUGGGGAGCAAACAGGAUUAGAUACCCGAGUAGUC